CUUAGUUCGUGGAGUGAUCUGUCUGCUUAAUUGCGUUUCAAAAUUUAACUUGAGGACCGGGUUUUGGUUUGGCUAGUGGUUCUACGAUGACUGUGAACUGUCAUGUCUUCGGAUGUGCGACUAUUGGUCUAGGAUCACAUGACUUGCCCCUGGGACUCUUUUGAACGCAACGGACGUGAUUGCAACCCCUUGUUGAGAUUAGAGAUAGUCUCGAUAUUCACUGGACAAACUGGCUGCUUUAUGCAGUCUUGUUGAAUGGUGGAUAAACUCGGGGGACUGCUGACUAUAACCAUUUCUCAAAACAGAGGAAGGUUGCGGCAAUAACAGGUCUGUGAUGCCCUCAGAUGUCCCGGGCUGCACACGUGCUACAAUGAGUGGCGCAAUGUGCUAAUGUUUAAGGGAUAAGAGUGUGGUCAGUAGAACGUCGGGAUUUCCCCUGACGUCUCCCCCGCACGAUUAUCAGCCUUCCCUUAACAGGGCGGGCAACCUUUUCAAAAUACUGGUUUGAUGUUAAAGUAUUGAGUCGUUUUUUUUGGAUGGUGGUU
rnacentral:rRNA from 1 species